rnacentral:rRNA from 1 species
CUACGGGUUGUUGCAGUGAGGAAUAUUGGUCAAUGGGCGCAAGCCUGAACCAGCCAUCCCGCGUGCAGGAUGACAGCCCUAGAGGUUGUAAACUGCUUUUGUAUAGGAAGAAUAAGAGCUACGUGUAGCUUGAUGACUGUACUAUACGAAUAAGCACCGGCUAACUCCGUGCCAGCAGCCGCGGUAAUACGGAGGGUGCAAGCGUUGUCCGGAUUUAUUAGGUUUAAAGGGUGCGUAGGCGGGAUCUUAAGUCAGUGGUAAAAGGCAUUAGCUUAACUAAUGUAAGCCAUUGAAACUGGGAUUCUUGAGUUCGGUUGAGGUAGGCGGAAUGUGUUGUGUAGCGGUGAAAUGCAUAGAUAUAACACAGAACACCGAUUGCGAAGGCAGCUUACUAAGCCGUUACUGACGCUGAUGCACGAAAGCGUGGGUAUCAAACAGGAUUAGAUACCCUAGUAGUC